GGAAACACAAGCAAAAGAAUUACCAGCAACAGAAGUAUCAGUCUGAGCAACAGUGGCUACUUUUGGAGAUGUCUGCUUACUUGCUCGAUAUUUAAGGAACUCGUUAUACUCCCUUUAAGAUACAGAAAAUCCCUGGUUACCUGUAGUCUCGGUCUGAGCAACAUAAGCAUUUUUGGGUGGUCGACCAUGUAAAGAAUGGCACACGUCACGAGUGUGACCAAGUUUAUAACAAUAAGAACACUUGGGUCUAGAUCUUCCAAAAUGACCUCCUCCUCAUCUAUACUCCAUAGUAUGAGAAGCCUGUUGUCCACGGAUUGGGAUACGAGGAUAGAUGAAUCAAGUGUCUGCGAUGAGCUCACUGGGUGACUUGGUGCUGCAGCAAGGCGAAGUAAGCGAGAGAAUAAUUCAUCAACUGUGGGGACAGUCGGACUAGCCAAAAUCUGANNNNNNNN
rnacentral:lncRNA from 1 species